AACGCUAGCUACAGGCUUAACACAUGCAAGUCGAGGGGAAACGACAUCGAAAGCUUGCUUUUGAUGGGCGUCGACCGGCGCACGGGUGAGUAACGCGUAUCCAACCUGCCCACCACUUGGGGAUAACCUUGCGAAAGUAAGACUAAUACCCAAUGAUAUCUCUAGAAGACAUCUGAAAGAGAUUAAAGAUUUAUCGGUGAUGGAUGGGGAUGCGUCUGAUUAGCUUGUUGGCGGGGUAACGGCCCACCAAGGCUACGAUCAGUAGGGGUUCUGAGAGGAAGGUCCCCCACAUUGGAACUGAGACACGGUCCAAACUCCUACGGGAGGCAGCAGUGAGGAAUAUUGGUCAAUGGACGAGAGUCUGAACCAGCCAAGUAGCGUGCAGGAUGACGGCCCUAUGGGUUGUAAACUGCUUUUAUAAGGGAAUAAAGUGAGUCUCGUGAGGCUUUUUGCAUGUACCUUAUGAAUAAGGACCGGCUAAUUCCGUGCCAGCAGCCGCGGUAAUACGGAAGGUCCGGGCGUUAUCCGGAUUUAUUGGGUUUAAAGGGAGCGUAGGCCGGAGAUUAAGCGUGUUGUGAAAUGUAGACGCUCAACGUCUGCACUGCAGCGCGAACUGGUUUCCUUGAGUACGCACAAAGUGGGCGGAAUUCGUGGUGUAGCGGUGAAAUGCUUAGAUAUCACGAAGAACUCCGAUUG
rnacentral:rRNA from 1 species